rnacentral:rRNA from 1 species
AUUGAACGCUGGCGGCAGGCUUAACACAUGCAAGUCGAGCGGGGUGAUGGUGCUUGCACUAUCACUUAGCGGCGGACGGGUGAGUAAUGCUUAGGAAUCUGCCUAUUAGUGGGGGACAACAUCUCGAAAGGGAUGCUAAUACCGCAUACGUCCUACGGGAGAAAGCAGGGGAUCACUUGUGACCUUGCGCUAAUAGAUGAGCCUAAGUCGGAUUAGCUAGUUGGUGGGGUAAAGGCCUACCAAGGCGACGAUCUGUAGCGGGUCUGAGAGGAUGAUCCGCCACACUGGGACUGAGACACGGCCCAGACUCCUACGGGAGGCAGCAGUGGGGAAUGUUGGACAAUGGGGGGAACCCUGAUCCAGCCAUGCCGCGUGUGUGAAGAAGGCCUUAUGGUUGUAAAGCACUUUAAGCGAGGAGGAGGCUCUUUUGGUUAAUGCCCAAGAUGAGUGGACGUUACCGACAUAAGAAGCACCGGCUAACUCCGUGCCAGCCGCCGCGGUAA